GAUGAACGCUGGCGGCGUGCCUAACACAUGCAAGUCGAACGGACAGAUGCUGCGCUUGUGCCGUUCACGUUAGCGGCGCGCGGGAGUGAAACGUGUGGAUCCCGCACUUAUCUUUCUGAGAUAAUCUCGGGAAAGCGGAUAUUAUACCAGAGGAUCUCCUGCACCACGGGGGGCAAUGGUGAAUGUCGGCUUUGGUGGAUGUUCUAGCUGCUUACGGGCUGGAUUAGCUAGUUGGUAAGGUAACGGCUUACCAAGGCUACGAGGCGUGGCCGAACUGAGAGAGGGAUCGGCCACAUUGGAACGUAGACAGGGUCCAGACGCCUACGGGAGGCAGCAGUAGGGAAUGGUCGGCAAUGGGCGAAAGCCUGACGGAGCAACGCCGCGUGAGUGAUGAAGGUCUUCGGAUCGUAAAGCCCUGUUAUGGGGGAAGAACAGAUGUCGAAUUAGCCAUGGACGUAUUGACGGUACCUAAUCAGAAAGCAACGGCUAACUACGUA
rnacentral:rRNA from 1 species